GAUGAAGAACGCAGCGAAAUGCGAUACGUAAUGUGAAUUGCAAAUUCAGUGAAUCAUCGAGUCUUUGAACGCAAAUUGCGCCCCCUGGUAUUCCGGGGGGCAUGCCUGUCCGAGCGUCAUUGCUGCCCUCAAGCACGGCUUGUGUGUUGGGCCCCGUCCUCCGAUCCCGGGGGACGGGCCCGAAAGGCAGCGGCGGCACCGCGUCCGGUCCUCGAGCGUAUGGGGCUUUGUCACCCACUCUGUAGGCCCGGCCGGCGCUUGCCGAUCAACCCAAAUUUUUAUCCAGGUUGACCUCGGAUCAGGUAGGGAUACCCGCUGAACUUAAGCAUAUCAAUAAGCGGAGGA
rnacentral:misc_RNA from 1 species